CCCAGGCUGGUGUAGUGGUCGCAUACCUUGCUGACACACGGCGAAGCUAGGGCGGAAGCCUACUGCGUGGAAGUCCAGCGGAACCGUGCCCGAAAGGGACGAGGAAGACCGGGUUCGAAUCCCGGGCUUGGGA
rnacentral:tRNA from 1 species